rnacentral:tRNA from 1 species
AAAAUCCGUCGACUUUAAAAAUCGGG